CCUUGGAUACUUCUUGCUGCCUUUGAGGAAGUGAGUGGUUGACUUUCUACUAAAAAUGAAAGAAAGCUCAUCACUAACAUGAAGUUCCACAGUGGACCAGAGUCAGGAUCAACAAGCUGUGCACGUGAAAAGAAAGCAGCAGAAGCUGAGGUCAUGGGGGGAAAAUAAGGAGCGCAGUGUUGUCAGCGGCUCGGGCCAAUCUGAAGUCGACCUCCAGGGAGAAAGUGAUCCCAUCGCAGAAACCUUAAACAUCCAGAUUGGGAAAACUCUCGCAAGAGGCUUAGCAGCUGCAGAAGCCAAAGCCCACGGUCUAGCUGUUUGCGUGCUGAGGGUCAGCAGCGAGGGAAGCGGGGCUGCAGUGGCUCCCCGGGUCUCGCACCGGCACAAGAGAAGAGUGCUCGAGCCCACCCACUUCUCCGGAGGCCAAAUAUGGACCUCUCAGCUGCUCCAGGCCUUCAGCCUGUACCCAUCCGUGGCCAACAACCUCUUCUUCCGUCUUUCUCCCUACAAUCUUCAAGCGCCUCACCUGCAACCAUUCACCUCCUUGGGAAGCCGGCUAAGAGGUCACCUCCUCCAGGAAGCUCCCAAGACGUCUCCUUCCCCACCUCCACCCACCCGUUUAUUAACACUGUCUUUUCUGAAUUAUCUUUGCACCCCUACCCGGUGUAUUACUCACCUAUACGCGUGACCCGCUCGAUUAUAUGCUCCCCCAAACAGAAAUAACGUCGCUCAUCUCAGACCCCCAGUGCCUAGCACAGUGAUGGAGAAUAUAUGCAGCUCCCUAACUCUGGUAGAUUAAGUGAUUGAUUACUACAUCUGGCCUGGAAUUACCCCUAGGGCACGCAAGUACACAAACACACGUGCAACACAUGAACGCACACACGCAUCCAUCAUCGCCUCUAUAAAUCACCAUAUUCCAGGGUCACUCAGGGGCCCUCCCGCUGCCCAGGAGUCCUCCCCCCACCCCAGAUUCCUGGACAGCUCCCUCGGACAUUCCACAUAACCGCCUCUCCAAAGCUUCCAACACUCUGGAGCCCCUAUCCCCCCCCUAUUUUCCCCUCAUAGUAGCACACGACGAUCUCACCUGUCACAAAUAUUCCACAGUCAGGAGAGUAGCCCUCAGGCAUGAACUCCCUCUCACUUUCCAGCCACCCAUCUUUAAAGCCUCUUUCUGCAUCUUUCACUUUGGUCUUCCAGUUUGGCCUUCCCUUGCACACCGACCGCAUUAAGCUUCCAACUUCACUCGCUCCUUCUCGAAACAUCUUUCCCUUACACUCCCUCUAUUUGUGAAAGCCCGGCCUUGCCUACAUUCUUGCUCUUAGGCGUCAACAAGACUGAGGGGGCUCCGAACUAGAGGGGGUGGCCUGGCGGGAGAAAGGGGACCCUGCCUGGCUAUGCGUCCAACUCUCCCUAAGCCUCUUAAUCUGACGUUCCCAGACAAAUGUCUAAAGGGUCAUCCAUACCUCGGGCUGGUUUUCUGCUUCUUCGGUUGUGGAUCUGUAUCAGUGUGACCUCCACACUCAUCACUUUACGCCUCAGCCAUGGCCCUCGCUCCAAUUCAAGCCACAUCCAAAGACUACGCUCAUCCUUAUCUCUGACCUCUAACAGCAGUUACAGUUCCUUCUUUCUGGAACCUUUCCUCUUGUCUUCAACUGACACAUUCUAACCUUUUGGUUCUUCCCACAGCUGCUCCUCUGGUACCCUCCCUCAUAGAGAGGAGCUGCCCAGAGCAGGGAAGAUUCUUGGCAUCUACCGCGUUGUCCUAGGCUCCUGGGACUUGUGACACGCUACCCCUCUGCCUGGUGUGACACACUUCCUCACCCUUUCAGCUUGACAGAGAAGGAAUACGUGGAUCCCGCUGUGGGAAUCUUACUGCUUUAACGGGGAACAUAAAGCAAACACACAAAAUAACCGAACAUUGAAAAAGGAAGUGAGAAGUACACAGUAGAGAUAACAAUAAAGCCUGCCGACUCCCAUCGGUUUUGACGGAGCAUACGUCAGACCUACCCAGGAGCAAAGUAACGUCUGGUCCCAGCACCAGAAGCUACAUCCUUAAUUUCGCUUGAAAAUUUCACGCCACAACCUUAUCGGGACGUUUUUACGCAGUGGGCAUGAACUUAAGUCCUGGAAACGAGGGGCGAACACUUCACAGCUGAACGGGGUCUUACCGAAUACGCACGGUUGUGCAUCUACCAUCCGAAAGUUUGGAAGCGGGCCCACAAAAUACAGCUUUAUUUCCUGCACACCCAGAAAAAGCUGGAGGAAAACAAAGAGCAUCGUGCGCAUAUCGAAAACCCUUUGUUGUUAAAGUCCAACCCAACACACCUCUCUCUUACAGGUCUUCCUUUUCUGUUAACAUUUUAAAAGUUGCAGGCCUCGAAACUCAGCUGUCAACACGGAGUGAUUUAAUCUCCUCAUCAAGGGGUCAGCAUGAAGCAGCUCUGGGUGAAUUAUAUAAGCCCUCACUUUUCUCCCAAAGUGCCAACAUCAGGAGAAAAAAAAAAAAAGUGAUCUUUUCUGUCUAGUUCUAGGAUGACACUACAUUUGGGUCAUGCUUGCUUUAUCAGGUACUGAAACCGAAAAAUAAAUGGUUUAAAUAUUAAGCCGUAUCAUCAGAUUCAAUUAUGGGCUGAUUUUUGUCUUCUCUCCAAUAUGCAGAGCACGCAAAGAGUUAAUGCGGCUACUGGAUGGUUUUAGGCAAAUUCCACACUCUGCCCACAAGCAGCCUAUUCUUGGCUCCCGAGCCUACUUUAUUUUGCCCGAACAUUACUUGUGAAUAGUUCUAUCACUACGCUGGAAACCACUUGGAGAGCAGGGCGUAUAUCUUACUCACCUCUUAAUCCUCUGAUGGGAUAAAGCAGGA